GGUGAGCGCGGCGCUCGCGCACGCGGUCGCGGCCGCGCCGAUCUGGCAGGCGACGCCCGUCGACGCGCGCGCGGACUGCCUCGCGCGCGCGGCGGACCUGCUCGAAGCGCAGAUGCACACGCUGAUGGGCCUGAUCGUGCGCGAGGCGGGAAAAUCGCUGCCGAACGCGAUCGCCGAGAUCCGCGAAGCGGUCGACUUCCUGCGCUACUACUCGGCGCAGAUCCGCGACGAAUUCUCGAACGACACGCACCGCCCGCUCGGCCCCGUCGUCUGCAUCAGCCCGUGGAACUUCCCGCUCGCGAUCUUCAUGGGCCAGGUCGCAGCCGCCCUGGCGGCGGGCAACACGGUGCUCGCGAAGCCGGCCGAGCAGACGCCGCUGAUCGCCGCGCAGGCGGUGCGCCUGCUGCGCGACGCCGGCGUGCCGGCGGGCGCGGUGCAACUGCUGCCGGGCAACGGCGAGACGGUGGGCGCGGCGCUCGUGGCGGACCCCCGCACGCGCGCGGUGAUGUUCACCGGCUCGACCGAAGUCGCGCGCCUCAUCAACAAGACGCUGUCGUCGCGCCUCGAUCCGGACGGCAGGCCGAUCCCGCUGAUCGCCGAGACGGGCGGCCAGAACGCGAUGAUCGUCGAUUCGUCGGCGCUCGCCGAGCAGGUGGUCGCCGACGUGCUGCAGUCGUCGUUCGACUCGGCCGGUCAACGCUGUUCGGCGCUGCGCGUUCUGUGUCUGCAGGACGACGUCGCGGAUCGCACGCUGACGAUGCUCAAGGGCGCGAUGCGCGAGCUCGCGCUCGGCAAUCCGGACCGGCUGUCGGUGGACGUCGGCCCGGUGAUCGACGCCGACGCGAAGCGCACGAUCGACACGCACAUCGCGGCGAUGAAGGACAAGGGGCACGCGGUCACGCAGCUCGAGAUGCCGGACGCAUGCGCGCAGGGCACGUUCGUGCCGCCGACGAUCAUCGAGAUCGGCAACGUCGACGAGCUCAAGCGUGAAGUGUUCGGCCCGGUGCUGCACGUCGUGCGUUAUCGCCGCAGCGGCCUCGACAAGCUGCUCGAGCAGAUCCGCGCGACGGGCUAUGGGCUCACGCUCGGCAUUCACACGCGGAUCGACGAGACGAUCGCGCACGUGAUCUCGCGCGCGCACGUCGGCAACAUCUACGUGAACCGCAACGUGAUCGGCGCGGUGGUGGGCGUGCAGCCGUUCGGCGGCGAAGGGCUGUCGGGCACGGGGCCGAAGGCGGGCGGCGCGCUCUACUUGCAGCGCCUGCUCGCGACGCGCCCGGCCGGGCUGCCGCGCUCGCUCGAGGCGGCGCUCGUCGCCGAUGCGCCGCAGGAAGGCGAGACGCGCGAUAAUCCAUCCGCUGCGCUCACCGCGCUGCGCGACUGGCUGAUCGAGCAGCGCGAGCCGGCGCUCGCCGCGCGCUGCGACGGCUAUCUGUCGCACGUGCUCGCGGGCG
rnacentral:rRNA from 1 species